rnacentral:lncRNA from 1 species
UAAAUUUAUUUUUUUUUUAAUUUUCUUUUUUUGGGCAGAGUACAACAACAACAAACUUUACCUCUACCAUGGGAAAGAGAGGCUGUUUCCAAAUAGAAACCCGAUAUCCUUCUCUCCAAGAACUUACCACCUUAUUCUUGCGAAGACUCGAACUCACAAUCUCUGGUUGGAAGUGGGAGUUGUUUACCAUCAGAGCAACCCCUCUUGUCAUUGAGUUCUACUCCUUUCAUGUAGUAAUCAAUUGGGAGCAGAGAAC